GACGAACGCUGGCGGCGUGCUUAACACAUGCAAGUCGAGCGGUAAGGCCCUUUCGGGGGUACACGAGCGGCGAACGGGUGAGUAACACGUGGGUGACCUGCCCUCAGCUCUGGGAUAAGCCCGGGAAACUGGGUCUAAUACUGGAUAUGACUCCACGGUGCAUGCCGUGGGGUGGAAAGCCUUGUGCGGCUGAGGAUGGGCCCGCGGCCUAUCAGCUUGUUGGUGGGGUGAUGGCCUACCAAGGCGACGAUGGGUAGCUGGUCUGAGAGGACGAUCAGCCACACUGGGACUGAGACACGGCCCAGACUCCUACGGGAGGCAGCAGUGGGGAAUCUUGCGCAAUGCGCGAAAGCGUGACGCAGCAACGCCGCGUGGGGAAGACGGCCCUCGGGUUGUAAACCCCUUUCAGUUGGGACGAAGCUUCGCCGGUGAAUAGCCGGCUGGAGUGACGGUACCUUCACAAGAA
rnacentral:rRNA from 1 species